UUACAAUAAGUCAACCUAAGACUGAAAGAGAAAGUUCAUUUAUUCCCUGGUCAAGUAUUUGCCUUGUUCCUUCUGUGUACUCAACUUGAACAUUAGAAGAUUAAUGCCUACCUCGGUGUGAGAAGUGAAGGAGAUUGGUGGUUUCCAACUCGACUGGUAAGGUGACGUGAAUGAGAAAGGAAGGACAUCAUCAAGAGACAGUCACUUUGUCUCAAUUUGUGGGACAUAAGCAAGGCCCAAAAGGCAUGAAUCCUGAGAUAAAACAACAAGAUGAAUACUCCCCCUGCAGUCACCAAACAGCAUGUGUUCAAUUCCUCUAGCAAGAAAGGAAGUGAAAAAGGAAAAAAAGAUCUACUAGCAAUUACAGGAAGUCAAAAUGGAGCAAAAUUGCAUUCAUGCAAAGAGCUCAAAGAAGACAACUAAUCUUUGUUCUAAAUACAACAUGGGAUCCUCACAGGUGGGCACAUUAGAAAAGACCACUGAUCAAGGACCAAUCACUGCAGCAAGUAUGUGAGUUCCAUAGGUAUAUCUGAAUUUCAAAAAUAAAAAGAUGCUCUCAAUAAUUCAAAGUUAUUUUUGAAGUUUUCAUACUUGAAGAUAAU
rnacentral:lncRNA from 1 species